GGUGAACGCUGGCGGCGUGCCUAACACAUGCAAGUCGAACGGACAGACGGUGAGCUUGUGCCUUUGACGGUGGCGGCGGACGGGCGGGUAACGCGUGGAUCACCUACUUAUUUUUCGGGGAUAAUUACGGGAGGCCGGAUCCAAUAAUAGAGAAUAUGUUGAACCGCAUGGAUCAGUGGAUAAUGGCGGUUUUGCUGUCUCAAUUAGCUGGUUCCGCGCUGGAUUAGCUAGUUGGUAAGGUAACAGCUUACCAAGGCGACGAUGCGUAGCCGACCUGAGAGGGUGAUCGGCCACACUGGAACUGAGACACGGUCCAGACUCCUACGGGAGGCAGCAGUAGGGAAUAUUCCGCAAUGGGCGAAAGCUUGACGCAGCAAUGCGGCGUGAGUGAUGAAGGUCUUCGGAUCGUAAAGCCCUGUUAUUGGGGAAGAACAGCUGUAGAUGUAACUACGGACGUUUUGACGGUACCUAAUGAGAAAGCACCGGCUAACUACGUG
rnacentral:rRNA from 1 species